rnacentral:lncRNA from 1 species
UGGCCAAGGCACAAUGGGGUGGUUCCAUGGCCCAGAAGCACUCUAGCUACAGAUUAGAAUGAUGACAAGAGUAAUACCUUCCUAGUGAAGAUGACUUUUAUUUCAGGACUAUAUUAAGUUUCCCAACUUCUGUCAUGAUAUAGUCCAAAGAGAACCUGGACCACGCAGACAUCAAACAGAACAUGACACUGACCCAUUCUAUCAGUGACGUUGUGCUGAUUGCACAGGACAGAUGAGAGGCUCGUAUACUAGAAGUCUUGUUUCACAUGUCCACAGAUGAAGAAAAAUUGUGCCCCAGCAAGGAUUAUACCCAGAGCCUCAUCCAUUCAUACCUGAUUUAGAUACUUAGAUGAUGAGUAAUAGAAAAGUCAUAUGAUACUUCAAAAUCUGUGAUUCCAUGAAGCCAAGAGUAGCUCUUCAACAGGAAAUGAAUGAGUGCUUCAGCUUCUGAUCCCAUUAGUAAGAAAAUACAGUCUUAUGAGCAAUGAUGGAGCUGCAUCUCUUAGGGGCAUUUGAUUCCCAAGAGACCAAAGAGCAAAGAGAAUGUCAAUUUAAAAAAAUCAAAUGUUUCCAUGACUUAGCUAUUUAACUGCUUUAAAAUGAAUGAAUGCUGCUUCAAGUUCUUUCAAAUACCCCACAUCUUGGCAACAACGAAAGGAAUUAACAUGAAGAAAAUUUACAAUCUUUCAUCACAUCGAACAAUGUCCCACAUUUGAAAAGUUCACAGCACAGAUUUCUGGUUACUGAAAGAAAGGAAAGACCUUCUUUGGAUUUGAAUAAACAGAUGGACUUUCUUCUCCUUUUU